UCGAGAAACCGAAAUUUAAAAAGGCAUACAUUUGAUUACUAGAAUUGAGUUUUUGGGAACGCACAAUUCUCGUCCUAUGGCAAGCUGUCCCCGGUUUGAAUGAAUAUGCAUUCUGCAUGGGAUGGCACGACGCCUACAAAGCUGACCCCAUAUUCUGCAAACUAUUUAUAACUUUCAUAUUUCUAAUGUAUUUUUCCGCAAUUACAAUACUCAACAGAAGAAAAUUAAAGUUGACAAAUAGACUCAGAAAUGAAUACUUUCGCAAGAAAAUGAUCGACGAAAACAAUGCCUUGAUCAGAAAUACAAUCUUGUUAGUCGCUCUAAUUGUAAUAGUAUUGAUUUCUGUACUUCAAAUACAGAUCAGUAUAUUUGAAUAUCCAACAAGAGUAAAAAAACAGAAAUUUCCCGGAGAACCAUUUUUACGCACUGUUUUCAUCUUUAUUGACAUAAGUUGUCUCAUCGGAAUAAUUGGUUUUGGUUUACUGUUGGCAGCGUUGUUGUUGUUUAUCGCCCAUGGAAAUUUUCAACAUGUCUCCGAUGAACUCUGCGCAAUAAAGAGAAACGACUCGGAUUUACGAAGAAAGCUUAAUGAAUUAAUGUUUCGCUAUGAAGAAAUUUAAAUUUUCUUGGAUCAACUGAACUCCAAGUCGAAUUUCCUAAAUGAAAUUUGUUAUUUUGGUAUCUUAUGGUUGACCAGCUUUUUGUAUUAUUUACUGUUAUUUACAGAAACGAAUGAACUUCUAAAGCAUCUCCUAUUAGGAUUGGUCGUAUUAUUCACAUUUACAUGCAUAAUUACUAACUGUCUGGUAUAUUCAUUGUCAUUCGUGGUAAUUAAGCUUUAUUCAUUUUGAUAAACUGAUUGUUUCUCCUUCAGUCUCUUAUCUACUUUCUGAUUUUAGAUGAGCAACACGUUUCAAGAUAUCAAACAAUUCGAAAAAUGUCGCAUUGAAUUGGAAAAAAAGCUGGAAAUGCUAAAUUUUAUGAAAAGAUUCGGAAAAGUGUCGUUGAGUCUUUUGAUUGGCGGAUUUUUGUUCAUCAAUAAAUACAUACCAUUCAAGAUGGCGUCUACAUUACAUUCUGUUUUCUCCAGUUUAACGAAGAUAAAAAGUAUUUCAAAGCAAAUAGUGUAUUGUAACGAAAUAUUUCAUACGAAUUUCACAGAAUAAUUGUAACCCUUCAGAAAUGAAAUUGUAUAGAUGUACAUUACGUUUAUACAGUAACUAAAUAGCGAGGUUAAGGCCGAUGUUUUAAACGCAAAAACGUGUACGUCAAACGUUUAGCGCCUCUUUCCUGUAAGCCUAAAAGUUUGACAAUAAUGUUUGAAUAGUCAGUCGAAUUAACACUGUCCCGCCAGACCGCAUAAAAGCGCUCCGGCACUCCAUUUGCUGUCAUAAUCCGUGUGUGUAUAGUCUUGUCCAUGUUUUGACCCACCACUGUCCCGCCAGACCGCAUAAAAGCGCUCCGGCACUCCAUUUGCUGUCAUAAUCCGUGUGUGUAUAGUCUUGUCCAUGUUUUGACCCACCACUGUCCCGCCAGACCGCAUAAAAGCGCUCCGGCACUCCAUUUGCUGUCAUAAUCCGUGUGUGUAUAGUCUUGUCCAUGUUUUGACCCACCACUGUCCCGCCAGACCGCAUAAAAGCGCUCCGGCACUCCAUUUGCUGUCAUAAUCCGUGUGUGUAUAGUCUUGUCCAUGUUUUGACCCACCACUGUCCCGCCAGACCGCAUAAAAGCGCUCCGGCACUCCAUUUGCUGUCAUAAUCCGUGUGUGUAUAGUCUUGUCCAUGUUUUGACCCACCACUGUCCCGCCAGACCGCAUAAAAGCGCUCCGGCACUCCAUUUGCUGUCAUAAUCCGUGUGUGUAUAGUCUUGUCCAUGUUUUGACCCACCACUGUCCCGCCAGACCGCAUAAAAGCGCUCCGGCACUCCAUUUGCUGUCAUAAUCCGUGUGUGUAUAGUCUUGUCCAUGUUUUGACCCACCACUGUCCCGCCAGACCGCAUAAAAGCGCUCCGGCACUCCAUUUGCUGUCAUAAUCCGUGUGUGUAUAGUCUUGUCCAUGUUUUGACCCACCACUGUCCCGCCAGACCGCAUAAAAGCGCUCCGGCACUCCAUUUGCUGUCAUAAUCCGUGUGUGUAUAGUCUUGUCCAUGUUUUGACCCACCACUGUCCCGCCAGACCGCAUAAAAGCGCUCCGGCACUCCAUUUGCUGUCAUAAUCCGUGUGUGUAUAGUCUUGUCCAUGUUUUGACCCACCACUGUCCCGCCAGACCGCAUAAAAGCGCUCCGGCACUCCAUUUGCUGUCAUAAUCCGUGUGUGUAUAGUCUUGUCCAUGUUUUGACCCACCACUGUCCCGCCAGACCGCAUAAAAGCGCUCCGGCACUCCAUUUGCUGUCAUAAUCCGUGUGUGUAUAGUCUUGUCCAUGUUUUGACCCACCACUGUCCCGCCAGACCGCAUAAAAGCGCUCCGGCACUCCAUUUGCUGUCAUAAUCCGUGUGUGUAUAGUCUUGUCCAUGUUUUGACCCACCACUGUCCCGCCAGACCGCAUAAAAGCGCUCCGGCACUCCAUUUGCUGUCAUAAUCCGUGUGUGUAUAGUCUUGUCCAUGUUUUGACCCACCACUGUCCCGCCAGACCGCAUAAAAGCGCUCCGGCACUCCAUUUGCUGUCAUAAUCCGUGUGUGUAUAGUCUUGUCCAUGUUUUGACCCACCACUGUCCCGCCAGACCGCAUAAAAGCGCUCCGGCACUCCAUUUGCUGUCAUAAUCCGUGUGUGUAUAGUCUUGUCCAUGUUUUGACCCACCACUGUCCCGCCAGACCGCAUAAAAGCGCUCCGGCACUCCAUUUGCUGUCAUAAUCCGUGUGUGUAUAGUCUUGUCCA